rnacentral:lncRNA from 1 species
CGCUUUCGUAAUGAGUUUAUUUUCCAUGAUUUAUAGCAGAGGUAACAGGAUCAUUUUCCAAAGACAUGGACUAGAGGAGAAGGAAGGGGUGAUUUUGAUCAUGAGAAGUGGCUUCAGAGGACCUCCAGACAGCACUGUGAAUGAACAAAUUACAUUAUGUAAAAUACCCUUCCUUGGGGGUGGUCAAAACAUGGAAAUGUAGGUUGCUCUGCUACUAAAACAGCUUGACUUUGGCUGUUCUAACCUCUCCGUGGAGAGGAAGACAGAGCAGGGCGGGGAGUGAUUACUCCUCAAACAGAGAGUGAUUUAACACCACCACUGGCUAUGUGACAGAUAAACUAAUUUACCCAAAUCACUAAGCUUGGGUUUUUCCAUCCACAUUAAUUUGGUUGCUUGCACAUGACAACAGCAGAAUUUGUUGGUGACAGGGAUUCAAAGGUCUGGGCAUUGCAGCUCAGCAAGAGAACACAAACAACUCAAGGCAAGAUACUACAAUCACUUGGGCAGCUUUCGCCCCAUCAUGGACUGCAAGGCACAGGAGUCACAAGGGUGAUUUCUUUCAGCCCGUGAAGGCUUGAUGUGGUGCUGGAUCAAACUAAAUUUUCACCUUCUAAUUAAACUGCUGGUAUUCCUUCCAUCUCAAAUUUUUGGAAGCCACUGAAUGUGAUGGAAAUGUGGUCUUCCGGCCAACACAGCAGUCUGGAGCCUGUGGCUGGCUGGUUUUAUUUUUGGAUUACAGGGGACCUCCAUCAAGCCUCUUUGUUUUAUUCUGAACCUCACUUUCCCAAAUAUAGGAAGGAGAAUCCACAGCGGCUUGGGGAGUUGCAAAACCUGUGCUUUCUGGUCAGUUGGAUCAAGACAUGAGUCCUAGCUUCACCACCAUCUAGUUAUGUGACCUUCAGGAAGUUAUUUAACUUCUCCAAGACUUGGGUUUUCCAUCUGUAAUAUGGGGAUAGUAAUAAAUACUUGCUUAUUUCAUUAUAUCAUCCAUUCAGCAGACAUCUACUGAGUGCCUCCUAUGUACCAGGCAAUGCCCUAGAUCUGAGUCUACAAAGGUGAGUGAAGCAGACAUAGCUCCUGUCCUCAUGGAGCUUAUGGUCUAUUGGGAGAAAUAUAUAAUAGGCAAAAGCACUUACUCUUGUCCCUGGCUUUUAACAGGUACUCAUGUUUUCAGAUGACCAGAAAUGUAGUUCUUGAAAUUCAGUGCCAUUCAAUAUGCAUUAAUUCCUUUUUCACAGAUCCCUUCCUAUCUCAGGGGCUUUACAAAUGAUAAUCUCUAUCUGGCUUGUUCUUUUCUCAGCAAUUCACAUGACUUCUCUCUUGCUUUAUUCAUAGCUCUACUCAAACGUCACCUCCCCAGAGGCCAUUCCUAAUUACCUAUUCAAAUAACCUAUUCUUGAUGGGUUUAAAAAUCACCUAUUAGGGCAGCCCCAGUGGCCCAGUUUAGCGUCGACUUCAGCCCAGGGUGUGAUCCUGGGGACCCAGGAUCAAGUUCCAUGUCGGGCUCCCUGCAUGGAGCCUGCUUCUCCCUCUGCCUGUGUCUCUGCCUCUCUCUCUCUCUCUCUCUCUCUCUCUCUGUGUCUCUCAUGAAUAAAUAAAUAAAAUCUUAAAAAAAAAAAUCACCUAUUACUGGGAGUGCCUGGGAUGCUCAGUUGGUUGAGUGUCCGACUCAUGAUUUUGGCUCAGGUCAUGAUCUCAGGAUUGUGAGAUGGAGCCCCACGUUGAACCUCACAUUGGGCUCCACACUGAGCAUGGAGCCUACUUUAGUUUUUCUCUCUCUCCCUCUCCCCUGCCCCCAGCCCCCCCAAGAAUAUCUAUUAGUGAAAAUUUUCUCGUAGAUUUAGGGUAAAUUUUUGUACUAAAGUCUGCAGUAUAAUCACAUUUCUAAAAGAUAGGCAGAUUUGGAAACAUUUUACAGUAAAAGAUUUAAGAAUGACCAAUAAGAAAAAAAAAUUAAAAAAAGAAAAAAGAAUAACCAAUAAGCCUAAGAAGAGAUGCCUAGCAUCACUAGUCAUCAGGGAUAGUUUUUCAAGACUGGUACUACUAAGCAUUGGCAAGAAAAACUGGAACACUUGUACUCUGCUGAUGGAAGUGCAAAAUGGUGCGGCAACUUUGGACAACACUUUGGUGGUUUCUUACAUGGUUAAACUAUACACUCACCAUACAACCCAGCAAACCCACACCUACACAUUUACCUAAGAGAACUGAAAACAUAUAUAUACUGUAAGGACUUGUAUAUGAAUUUGUUUAUAGCAGCAUUAUUCAUAAUUCAUACUUGAAUAACAACUCAAAUGUCUAUCAGCUGAAGAACGAGAAAUAAAAUGUGAUAUAGCCACACAAUGGACUACUAGUCAGCAAUAAAAAGGAACAAAGGCUACAACACAGAUGAAUCUCAAGAACAUCAUGCUAAAUGAAAGAAACCAGAUUCCAAAAGCAACACACUGUAUGGUUCCAUGUAUAUGACAUUUUGAAACCAGAUGGAUGGUUAUCUGGGGCCAGGAGUGAGGGACACGGUUGACUGCAGUAUGGCACAAGGGAAUUUUGGGGGGAUGCUGGAACUAUCUUGGGUGUGGUGGUGCUUACACAACUGUACACAACAGCUAAAACUUAUGAAAGUGUACAAUUCAGAUAGGCAAACUUUUUUUGUUUGUGAAUUAUGCCUUAAUAAAACUGUUACGAAGUUUUAAAACACAUUGCUAUAUAUCUCUACCAAAUGACUUUAUGCUUAUCUCUUGUGAUGGGAUUUAGGUGCUUUUUACUUUCCUCUCUUCGCUUAUCUAAAUGCUAUAAAAUUUCCACAAUGAUUAUGGGGUAUUUGCGUCAAGAGAGAAAAAACCAACAAUAAAAUGCCAUAAACAUAAAUAAUCGUGUUAUUCCACAAGGAAUCUAUUGUCGAUUCAACAUUGUUUUCUUGUAAUGAAGCCUAUUUGGGUUACCUCCUCCUCAUCUAUCUUUCCUCAGUGGCACUUUUCAGGGGUGAGCUGAGGAAACAGAUGCAAAAAGGUACAGAGCUUAAUAGCAAUGCUUUGUCCACCCAGCUCUGGGUUUGGCUCUCACCUGGAUUUCUGGAUGAAUACACAGUAGACUAAUGAUAGGGGGCUCUCGUCCUACUUUGCCAGCUCUCCGCCCUCCAUUCCAACCCAAAUCAACUCAUGCAUCUUCCAGGCCCCAAGAGAAAGUUCUUAGCAUAGGACUGGGCAGAUUGUGGUUUGUGGGGUCCAGGCCAGGAGCCUGCCUCCGGCUCCCAUUGGUCUAUUGAGUGCUGCAUGGUCUUGGUGAAGUCAAGAGGCCAUUCAUCAGUGGAGACCCAUGCUUAGAUGACCACUCAUGCUGCACGUGGCAAGAUGGGACACAGAGUCCCUCCAAGAGUCUUCGGGGCUGGAGGUACUCUGUGUCAACAGGUCUCUGGCACUUUUCACCCAUCACACAUCCAAUUCGUCUUCAGGCUUUCUGCCUGUGGAAGGGUAGUCACCUUAGGAGACCCAACUGGCCCGUAGAUGAAGGAUGGUACAUCAGGAGAAGCAUUGUUCCCUCUAUGUGCCUCGGGAUAGCUGGACAAGACUCCUGACAGGGUCCAGGUAUCGGGACACAGGAUUCCAGUGAGGACAUUGAACCUGUAGCUAUAAAAAUAGUGUCAUAAGACUUUAUCCCAUGGAGGAAACAAUCAAUUUUGUAGCCACUCUAGUGAAGAAAUAAAGCCCAUGAGAUGCUCAGAACAGCGGGGUGGGCACAGAGAAGUGAGACGAAUCACAGCUUUCCUUGACCUCUGCUUCGUCACCCAUCGAUGCUGAGCUGGGAGAGAUCCUGAGUUUCCAACCUGGGGUCUCUGUCCCCAAGCUCACACAGGCAUUAUUUUCAGGAACUACUUCCAAUAUCUUAAAACUCCACACAUGAUUCACAAUAAUUAACUUGAGGAUGCAACCCAAAUGCCCACCAAUGGAUGAAUGGAUAAACAAAAUGUGCCAUACACAUACACUAUAAUGUUAUUUGGCCUUAAAUAAAAGGAAAUUCAGACAUACACUACAAUACAGAUGAACUGUUAAGACAUUCUGGUCAGUGAAAUAAGCCAGACCCAGAAUACAAACACAAUUUGAUUCCACGUGUGUGAGGGACCUAGAGUAGUCAAAUUCAUUGACACAGAAAGAAGAAUGGUGGUUACCAGGAGCAGGGAGAAAAGAGGAGUUAGUGUUCAAUGGGUAUAGUGUUACAGUUUGGGAUGUUAAAAAAAGUUAUGGAAAUCUACAGUGGUGAUAGUUACAUAUCAGCGUGAAAACACUUAGGGCCACUGAACUGUACGCGUAGAAAUGUUAAUAAUAGUAAGUUUUAUGUUGUGUAUAUUUUACAACAUGUACAAAAAACAAAUAUUCUGCACAUACCCACAAGGCCUCACCCCCUCAUGAAAGCAUAAAGUCAUGCCUGUUACCAUUCAGAUCAAAUCUGUGAAUGGGCAGGCACAACCUUUGAUUGAUUUUCAAAAAAGAAAAAAAAAAAAAAAAAAAAA